rnacentral:rRNA from 1 species
UACGAAGGGGGCUAGCGUUGCUCGGAAUCACUGGGCGUAAAGCGCACGUAGGCGGAUUGCUAAGUCAGGGGUGAAAUCCUGGAGCUCAACUCCAGAACUGCCUUUGAUACUGAAGAUCUUGAGUCCGGGAGAGGUGAGUGGAACUGCGAGUGUAGAGGUGAAAUUCGUAGAUAUUAGGAAGAACACCAGUGGCGAAGGCGGCUCACUGGCCCCGGUACUGACGCUGAGGCGCGAAAGCGUGGGGAGCAAACAGG